AUCUAAAGCUAAAUACCGGCCAGAGACCGAUAGCGCACAAGUAGAGUGAUCGAAAGAUGAAAAGCACUUUGGAAAGAGAGUCAAAAAGUACGUGAAAUUGUUGAAAGGGAAGCGCUCGCAACCAGACCUGCCCGCGGCCGAUCAACCGUCCUUCUGGGCGGUGCACUCGACCGCGAUCAGGCCAGCAUCGGUUCGGGCGGCCGGAUAAAGGCCUUGGGAACGUAGCUCCUCUCGGGGAGUGUUAUAGCCCUCGGUGCAAUGCGGCCAGCCUGGACCGAGGACCGCGCUUCGGCUAGGAUGCUGGCGUAAUGGUUGUGAGCGGCCCGUCUUGAAACACGGACCAAGGAGUCUAACAUCUAUGCGAGUGUUUGGGUGUCAAACCCAUGCGCGGAAUGAAAGUGAACGGAGGUGGGAACCCUUACGGGCGCACCAUCGACCGAUCCAGAUGUCUUCGGAUGGAUUUGAGUACGAGCAUAGCUGUUGGGACCCGAAAGAUGGUGAACUAUGCCUGAAUAGGGUGAAGCCAGAGGAAACUCUGGUGGAGGCUCGCAGCGGUUCUGACGUGCAAAUCGAUCGUCAAAUUUGGGUAUAGGGGCGAAAGACUAAUCGAACCAUC
rnacentral:rRNA from 1 species